rnacentral:tRNA from 2 species
AUCUCUGUAGCUUAAAUACUUAAAGCAUUG